GACGAACGCUGGCGGCGCGCCUAACACAUGCAAGUCGAACGGAGCUGCGAGAAGCUUGCUUUUCUUAGCUUAGUGGCGAACGGGUGAGUAACGCGUGAGUAACCUGCCCUGGAGUGGGGGACAACAGUUGGAAACGACUGCUAAUACCGCAUAAGCCCACGGCCCGGCAUCGGGCUGAGGGAAAAGGAUUUAUUCGCUUCAGGAUGGACUCGCGUCCAAUUAGCUAGUUGGUGAGGUAACGGCCCACCAAGGCGACGAUUGGUAGCCGGACUGAGAGGUUGAACGGCCACAUUGGGACUGAGACACGGCCCAGACUCCUACGGGAGGCAGCAGUGGGGGAUAUUGCACAAUGGGGGAAACCCUGAUGCAGCGACGCCGCGUGGAGGAAGAAGGUUUUCGGAUUGUAAACUCCUGUCGUUAGGGACGAUAAUGACGGUACCUAACAAGAAAGCACCGGCUAACUACGUG
rnacentral:rRNA from 1 species